CCAACCAUGCGGCUCGAGUAGGAACCUAACCCACCAUCCUAUUAUGUUCUUAAUUACACAAUAGGAACAAUAGCAUGCAUAUAAAUAGAUCCUUACAUGCUAAUCACCAUAUUCCGUGAUCCAGCAGUUCAUAUAAAAUAUUCUACCAUAUGACUCUAGCUGACCCAAUAAUCUUACUGCUUUCCUCUAUUGAGAUCUCGUUUCACUUGUUUGUGAUCACAACAUCAAAUAAAAGAUGGUGGAGCUGGACAUUUCUGUGCAAAGCUACAAUGGAGAUUUGUUGUUUUGAGCCCUAGGAAGUAUAAGAUGAAAGUGGAGAUGCUCUAUUUUUACCAAUUAUUCCAAAAAAUAAAAAUAAAUUAUCAGAUAUCUAGCCUCAUAAUAUUUGCAAUCUGAUAAUUAACAACAUUUAUUUUAUUCAUUCUAAAUUUUUUUGAGCAUUGAUGCAGGUUCAGGCUCAAAAUUUGAGACUGAAGGAGAAUAUGUGAGGCAUUGGCUACCGGAGUUAGCAAGAGUAUCCACUGAGUGAAUUCAUCAUCCAUGGGAUGCACCUAAUUCUGUACUUAAAGCUUCAGGUGUAGAGUUGGGGUUCAACUAUCCAAAAACAAUCAUUGAAAUUGACUUGGCUAGAGAAAAUUUUCUAAGGCUAUAACGAAGAUGUGGGAACUACAAGCAGCUGGAUGCAGGAUCAAAUGGCGCAGCAGACAAAGAAGUCGUUGGCUAUUACUCUCUCUGAGUACUACCUCUAGCAUAAGACUUCUCAUAAUAACUUAUGCGACACUAAACUUAGUGGAUCGGCACGACUCGGAAAUACUUCUCUAUCUUGUUAUGUUUUGUGCCAUGGUUGUGGAGUUCCGCAUGACUUGCUUUAACUUUGAUAUAAACUGUCCCAAAUUCAAAUAUCAAUUCAGGAACCUUUCUGACAUUGGGAAAGAUGAGAGGUGACCUUAGGAAUUUGUGGAGCAAAGGUGACCCAGACAGACGUGUCCACUUGUACAGCAAAUGAAUUAGAGGAAGAUUAGUAGGAAACGCACUUUUAUUCACUUAUUGUAUAAUAUAACUAUAGGAAAUGGAUUCUGGGUGAGGGAGAUCAGUAAGUACACGUUGACCCCGAUAUUAGGAGCUUACAACAAUGCAGCUACUACAUUUGAUUCUGUGACUGAGUUCUAUCUCCUCUGCUUCUACCUCAUAUACGUAUAAGCACGCAUAUCUUUAUACAUAUGUGAAUUUUGUUUGUUUAAAUUUCUGAUAUGUUUUUUAUGGAUUGAAGAAUAUGAAGAGGAAGGGUUGCAUUUCUUCAUGGGAAUAUAGUGAAUUUGGUUCAUAAAUUGAGAACCACCUUUUGGAUCUGUAUCCAUUACUGUCUACGACAGUUCAACAAAAAAAUUUCAAUACUGCAUCAUUGUAAGUUUUACAUUGUAUUUGAUGAAUUAUAGCCAAUUGUUUUUCAUAUAAAAGGAACUCUUAUUGGGAAAUUUGACUUUUUAUGCUUAAUAUGGGGUUGUAAUUCAAAAAAAUAUUAGGCAUUUUUAUCAUUACAAAAUAAUGCCAAUUCAUUUUAGGAUACCCAAAUACCCCUCACAUUUUGAACCUCCCACUUGUCUCUUCAGUUUUCCCUCUCUCUCUUUCUCUCGGUACUCUUCAGUUUUCCCUCUCUCUCUUUCUCAGUGCCCCCACCGACGUCGAU